rnacentral:lncRNA from 1 species
UGAACAUCCAAAGGAUGGGUUGAGAAUGAAGAACCUUCAAGGAGACCGAGGAGGGGAAACCAAUAAAUUAAGAAAAAAAAUCUGGAGACUUAGUCUUUGGAUGCCUGCAAAAAGGAAUGGUAUGGAAGAUCACUAUAAACAAAAUUUCCACAAGAGAAAAUGUUGAAAUAGGAGUUGCGGAUACAUUGGAUAUACUGGAUGAAAUACAAGCGGUUAAUUUUUGUAACGUGAGGGAAAAGCCCACAUUGCUGGUUACAUGUGUAAAUCACUGCGUUAUUGCUUUAGUCAUUGUCUCUAUUUAGCAAUGACAAGACUGGAAGAAGUAAAUAGAGAAGUGAACAUGCAUUCUUCAGUGCGGUAUCUUGGCUAUUUAGCCAGAAUCAAUUUAUUAGUUGCUAUAUGCUUAGGUCUAUACGUAAGAUGGGAAAAAACAGCAAAUUCCUUAAUUUUGGUAAUUUUUAUUCUUGGUCUUUUUGUUCUUGGAAUCGCCAGCAUACUCUAUUACUAUUUUUCAAUGGAAGCAGCAAGUUUAAGUCUCUCCAAUCUUUGGUUUGGAUUCUUGCUUGGCCUCCUAUGUUUUCUUGAUAAUUCAUCCUUUAAAAAUGAUAUAAAAGAAGAAUCAACCAAAUAUUUGCUUCUAACAUCCAUAGUGUUAAGGAUAUUGUGCUCUCUGGUGGAGAGAAUUUCUGGUUAUGUCCGUCAUCGGCCCACUUUACUAACCACAGUUGAAUUUCUGGAGCUUGUUGGAUUUGCCAUUGCCAGCACAACUAUGUUGGUGGAGAAGUCUCUGAGUGUCAUUUUGCUUGUUGUAGCUCUGGCUAUGCUGAUUAUUGAUCUGAGAAUGAAAUCUUUCUUAGCUAUUCCAAACUUAGUUAUUUUUGCAGUUUUGUUAUUUUUUUCCUCAUUGGAAACUCCCAAAAAUCCGAUUGCUUUUGCGUGUUUUUUUAUUUGCCUGAUAACUGAUCCUUUCCUUGACAUUUAUUUUAGUGGACUUUCAGUAACUGAAAGAUGGAAACCCUUUUUGUACCGUGGAAGAAUUUGCAGAAGACUUUCAGUCGUUUUUGCUGGAAUGAUUGAGCUUACAUUUUUUAUUCUUUCAGCAUUCAAACUUAGAGACACUCACCUCUGGUAUUUUGUAAUACCUGGCUUUUCCAUUUUUGGAAUUUUCUGGAUGAUUUGUCAUAUUAUUUUUCUUUUAACUCUUUGGGGAUUCCAUACCAAAUUAAAUGACUGCCAUAAAGUAUAUUUUACUCACAGGACAGAUUACAAUAGCCUUGAUAGAAUCAUGGCAUCCAAAGGGAUGCGCCAUUUUUGCUUGAUUUCAGAGCAGUUGGUGUUCUUUAGUCUUCUUGCAACAGCGAUUUUGGGAGCAGUUUCCUGGCAGCCAACAAAUGGAAUUUUCUUGAGCAUGUUUCUAAUCGUUUUGCCAUUGGAAUCCAUGGCUCAUGGGCUCUUCCAUGAAUUGGGUAACUGUUUAGGAGGAACAUCUGUUGGAUAUGCUAUUGUGAUUCCCACCAA